CCUGCUCCUAGACACAUUGCAGGUAUAGCUGCUGUGUCAUAUGUGUAUCAAUAGUUGGCCACAGAGGAGUUUAUGUCUGUGCACAGUGUUCUAACCUAUGAACAUCUGAAUUUGUAGCCUAACAUU